rnacentral:rRNA from 1 species
CCCGCUGAACUUAAGCAUAUCAAUAAGCGGAGGAAAAGAAACUAACAAGGAUUCCCCUAGUAACUGCGAGUGAAGCGGGAAAAGCUCAAAUUUAAAAUCUGGCGGUCUUUGACCGUCCGAGUUGUAAUUUAGAGAAGCGUCUUCCGCGCCGGUCCGUGCACAAGUCUCCUGGAAUGGAGCGUCAUAGAGGGUGAGAAUCCCGUCUUUGGCACGGAUGCCCGGUGCUUCUGUGAUGCGCUCUCGAAGAGUCGAGUUGUUUGGGAAUGCAGCUCAAAAUGGGUGGUGAACUCCAUCUAAAGCUAAAUAUUGGCGAGAGACCGAUAGCGAACAAGUACCGUGAGGGAAAGAUGAAAAGCACUUUGGAAAGAGAGUGAAACAGUACGUGAAAUUGUUGAAAGGGAAACGCUUGAAGUCAGUCGCGUCUACCGAGACUCAGCCUUGCCUUGGCUUGGUGUACUUCUCGGCCCGACGGGUCAGCAUCAAUUUUGCUCCUCGGAUAAUGGCAAGGGAAAGGUGGCACCUUUACGGGUGUGUUAUAGUCUCCUGUCGCAUGCGAGGGGGGGGAUUGAGGAACUCAGCGCGCACAUCGGUGUCGGGGCUUUUCUGCCCACGUCACGCGCUUAGGAUGCUGGCGUAAUGGCUUUAAACGACCCGUCUUGAAACACGG